AUGCACAGUGGAGAACGAAUGAAGUUCUUACUACAGGAACCUACAGGUUUUGACAACCAAUUGUAUUUUGGCUGGUCAGAGAAUGACUCACUAAGGGUUACAGUUGAACAAAGACCUUUGGAGGUGACAGAUGAAAAAGCAAGCCACGGCGAGGGCUGCGUAAAGAGUGUUUCAGCCACAGAGAAGAACAAGGGCCCAGGGCCUGGGACAGAUGUGUGCAGAUGGCAAGUUAGACUUUGGGAGACCCUGGAGGAUGCUGAAGUGGUCAGGAAUAGGAAAUUAUCCGCUACUGAUACAGUUUUGGAUAAAUUACUUAACCCAAUAAAGCCAUGUAUUGGGGCGGACCUGGAGCGCUCGCGCCCGAGGCCCUCCGUCCCCGCAGCUGGCCGUGGCGGCGCGGGGAGGUACCUGCCGGGCCUCGCCCCAGGCAUCGCCUGGGCCGCCAGCGCCCUCCACCUGUGCCGCGGGCGAAUGGCCGCGCUCACUUCGUCCAGGAGAAAGCUGAGCCUCUCUGCUAGAGCCUGCAGCUGGAGCGCAGGAGAGAUCUGGAGCACAAAAGGAGAGAUUUCACCUCUUGCGGAAACAAGAAGCUCUACUUUGACACCCAUGCCUUAGUGUGUUUACUGGAAGAAAAUGGGUUCUCCACCCAGCAAGCAGAAAUCACUGUCUCUGCAUUGGUCAAGAUCACGGACGCCAACAUGGAUAUUAUCUACAAGGAUAUGGUCACCAAGAUGCAGCAGGAGAUCACCGUACAGCAAAUAGUCUCAGAUUGCCAACGUGAAAAAAGAUAUGAUUAUUUUGGAGAAGAGCGAAUUUUCAGCCCUCGGAGCAGAAAAUGAGAAGAUAAACGUGGAACUACAUCGGUUAAAACAACAAAUAAUGGAUGAAGUGGUCAAAGUCCGAACAGAUACCAAGUUAGACUUCAAUCUAGGAAAGAGCAGAGUGAAGGAAUUGUACUCAUUGAAUGAAAGGAAGCUGCUGGAAAUGAGGACAGAAAUGGUGGCAUUGCAUGCCCAGCAAGAUCAUGCUGUCACCCAGACGGACAGGAAGAUAGACACUGAGGUCGCUGGCCUCAAAACCAUGCUGGAGUCACACAAGCUCGUAACAUUAAAUAUUUAGCAGGAUCUGUAUUUACAUGCCCAACAGUAGCUCUGGGAUUUUAUCGCCUGUGGAUAUAAUAAAGUGUCUAUUUAAAGAGA